GGAAAAUCCAUUACCUCCCAAAGGUACCACCCUAGUCAGAUUUUCUUUCAAGUGCUAUACUUGAAAAUCGGUGCCAAAAUGCUGGUAGAAAAGUAAAGUUGUUUACAGAUGAAAAAAUGAUUUUCUGUGCGAGACCGAAAUCUGGUAACCUCUGAAAACUUUUAAAUUCUAUUUUUCAGCUUAAUGCGCUUUAUAACUUAUUAUAUUUUAUACAUAAAUAUACGUUUACUAAAUGGUGACAAAAUUAUUUGCCCCGGCAAUAUCUUGCAGGUGUAGGCAUAAUUUAAUAAUUAUUUUUAUAAAAAUAAAAUAUAAUUAGGUUCGUAUUUUGUCUUACCAUUUGUUUCUACAUUAUAUAACCCUACGAGACAUGCAAUAUUAUUACUCACCAUAUUUAUUGGUUGUUAAUCUAAUACGGUUUGAAAAUAAGUAAAAUUAAAAAUUAAGCCACAGUAGAAAUAAGGUUUUUUGAAGUGAGGUUAGGUUCCUAAGUAAAUAAGUAAUUACUCAGUAACAUGCCAAAGUAGGUUUUGUUGAGACGACUGUCUCAUGACAAAAAUGGGCGGGUGGCUGAUCAAAUAUGUUGAAUGUUGAUUAAGAUUGACUAGAUCAAAUACUUGAGAUGCCUUUAG